CAAUAGCGUAUAUUAAAGUUGUUGCGGUUAAAAAGCUCGUAGUUGGAUUUCUGCUGAGGACGACCGGUCCGCCCUCCGGGUGAGCAUCUGGUUCGGCCUUGGCAUCUUCUUGGUGAACGUAUCUGCACUUGACUGUGUGGUGCGGUACCCAGGACUUUUACUUUGAGGAAAUUAGAGUGUUUCAAGCAGGCAUACGCCUUGAAUACAUUAGCAUGGAAUAAUAGAAUAGGACUUUUGCCUCUUCUGUUGGUCUGAGGGGUCGAAGUAAUGAUUAAUAGGGAUAGUUGGGGGCAUUAGUACUUAACUGUCAGAGGUGAAAUUCUUGGAUUUGUUAAAGACUAACUUAUGCGAAAGCAUUUGCCAAGGAUGUUUUUCAUUAAUCAAGAACGAAAGUUAGGGGAUCAAAGAUGAUCAGAU
rnacentral:rRNA from 1 species